rnacentral:rRNA from 1 species
GAUGAACGCUGGCGGCGUGCCUAAUACAUGCAAGUCGAGCGAACAGACGAGGAGCUUGCUCCUCUGACGUUAGCGGCGGACGGGUGAGUAACACGUGGAUAACCUACCUAUAAGACUGGGAUAACUUCGGGAAACCGGAGCUAAUACCGGAUAAUAUAUUGAACCGCAUGGUUCAAUAGUGAAAGACGGUUUUGCUGUCACUUAUAGAUGGAUCCGCGCCGCAUUAGCUAGUUGGUAAGGUAACGGCUUACCAAGGCGACGAUGCGUAGCCGACCUGAGAGGGUGAUCCGCCACACUGGAACUGAGACACGGUCCAGACCCCUAAGGGGGGCAGCAGUAGGGAAACUUCCGCAAUGGGCGAAAGCCUGACGGAGCAACGCCGCGUGAGUGAUGAAGGUCUUCGGAUCGUAAAACUCUGUUAUUAGGGAAGAACAAAUGUGUAAGUAACUAUGCACGUCUUGACGGUACCUAAUCAGAAAGCCACGGCUAACUACGUG